rnacentral:rRNA from 1 species
GAUGAACGCUAGCUACAGGCUUAACACAUGCAAGUCGAGGGGAAACGACAUUGAAGCUUGCUUCGAUGGUCGUCGACCGGCGCACGGGUGAGUAACGCGUAUCCAACCUGCCUCUGACCAAGGGAUAACCCGUCGAAAGUCGGCCUAAUACCUUAUGCAGUCGUCGGAAGUCAUCUGAUGACGACGAAAGAUUUCAUCGGUGAGAGAUGGGGAUGCGUCUGAUUAGCUUGUUGGCGGGGUAACGGCCCACCAAGGCAACGAUCAGUAGGGGUUCUGAGAGGAAGGUCCCCCACAUUGGAACUGAGACACGGUCCAAACUCCUACGGGAGGCAGCAGUGAGGAAUAUUGGUCAAUGGGCGAGAGCCUGAACCAGCCAAGUAGCGUGCAGGAUGACGGCCCUAUGGGUUGUAAACUGCUUUUAUGCGGGGUUAAAGUGAGGGACGUGUCCUUCAUUGCAGGUACCGCAUGAAUAAGGACCGGCUAAUUCCGUG